rnacentral:rRNA from 1 species
CGGGGUGCAGCAGGCGCGAAAACUUUACAAUGCUGGCAACAGCGAUAAGGGGACCUUGAGUGCCAGGAUACAAUCCUGGCUGUCGUGAUGCCUAAAAAGCAUUAUAUAGCAAGGGCCGGGCAAGACCGGUGCCAGCCGCCGCGGUAACACCGGCGGCUCGAGUGGUAACCGCUAUUAUUGGGUCUAAAGGGUCUGUAGCCGGCUUGGUUAGUCUCUUGGGAAAUCCGGCAGCUUAACUGUCGGGCUUUCAGGAGAUACUGCCAGGCUCGAGACCGGGAGAGGUGAGAGGUACUUCAUGGGUAGGGGUGAAAUCUUGUAAUCCUUGAAGGACCACCAGUGGCGAAGGCGUCUCACCAGAACGGAUCUGACGGCAAGGGACGAAAGCUAGGGGCACGAACCGGAUUAGAUACCCGGGUAGUCCUAGCCGUAAACGAUACUCGCUAGGUGUCGGCCACGGUGCGACCGUGGUCGGUGCCGUAGGGAAGCCGUGAAGCGAGCCACCUGGGAAGUACGGCCGCAAGACUGAAACUUAAAGGAAUUGGCGGGGGAGCACA